GGCCAAUCAAACCGGGAGAUAGCUGGUUCUCCCCGAAAGCUAUUUAGGUAGCGCCUCGUGAAUUCAUCUCCGGGGGUAGAGCACUGUUUCGGCUAGGGGGCCAUCCCGGCUUACCAACCCGAUGCAAACUGCGAAUACCGGAGAAUGUUAUCACGGGAGACACACGGCGGGUGCUAACGUCCGUCGUGAAGAGGGAAACAACCCAGACCGCCAGCUAAGGUCCCAAAGUCAUGGUUAAGUGGGAAACGAUGUGGGAAGGCCCAGACAGCCAGGAUGUUGGCUUAGAAGCAGCCAUCAUUUAAAGAAAGCGUAAUAGCUCACUGGUCGAGUCGGCCUGCGCGGAAGAUGUAACGGGGCUAAACCAUGCACCGAAGCUGCGGCAGCGACACUCAGGUGUUGUUGGGUAGGGGAGCGUUCUGUAAGCCUGCGAAGGUGGCCUGUGAGGGUUGCUGGAGGUAUCAGAAGUGCGAAUGCUGACAUAAGUAACGAUAAAGCGGGUGAAAAGCCCGCUCGCCGGAAGACCAAGGGUUCCUGUCCAACGUUAAUCGGGGCAGGGUGAGUCGACCCCUAAGGCGAGGCCGAAAGGCGUAGUCGAUGGGAAACGGGUUAAUAUUCCCGUACUUGGUGUUACUGCGAAGGGGGGACGGAGAAGGCUAUGUUGGCCGGGCGACGGUU
rnacentral:rRNA from 1 species